rnacentral:rRNA from 1 species
GCCUGUUCGANCGUCAUUAUCACCCCUCAAGCCCGGCUUGUUGUUGGACGUCGGCGGCGGCCUUUAGUGGCGUACCGCCCGUCUCAAAGAUAAUGACGGCGUCUGUGAGGACACCUGUACACUGAGCCUUCGGGCACGUACUAGGCUGAUACUUGCAGACCCGGUCUUCGGGUUCGCUUCGGCGUCCCCAACUUUUUUACCAAGGUUGACCUCGGAUCAGGUAGGAAUACCCGCUGAACUUAAGCAUAUCAAUAAGCGGAGGAAAAGAAACCAACAGGGAUUGCCUUAGUAACGGCGAGUGAGGCGGCAACAGCUCAAAUUUGAAAUCUGGCCUCUUUGGGGUCCGAGUUGUAAUUUGGAGAGGAUGUUUCGGGUACGGUCCGGGCUUAUAUUUCUUGGAACGGAAUGUCAUAGAGGGUGAGAAUCCCGUCUGGAGUCCGGACACGGCCUAUGUGAAACUCCUUCGACGAGUCGAGUUGUUUGGGAAUGCAGCUCUAAAUGGGUGGUAAAUUUCAUCUAAAGCUAAAUAUUGGCCAGAGACCGAUAGCGCACAAGUAGAGUGAUCGAAAGAUGAAAAGCACUUUGAAAAGAGAGUUAAAAAGUACGUGAAAUUGUUGAAAGGGAAGCGCUGGCAACCAGACUUGCACGUCGGGGUUCCCCCUUGCUUUUGCCUGGGUUACUCCCCGGCGUUCAGGCCAACAUCGGUUUCGGGGGUUGGUUAAAGGCCUUAGGAAUGUACUUACCCUCCGGGGUAAACUUAUAGCCCAGGGUGUCAUGCGACCUC